rnacentral:rRNA from 1 species
GAUGAACGCUGGCGGCGUGCUUAACACAUGCAAGUCGAACGGUGAAGGCGGAGCUUGCUCUGCUGGAUCAGUGGCGAACGGGUGAGUAACACGUGAGCAAUCUGCCCCUGACUCUGGGAUAAGCGCUGGAAACGGCGUCUAAUACUGGAUACGAGCUGCGAAGGCAUCUUCAGCAGCUGGAAAGAACUUCGGUCGGGGAUGAGCUCGCGGCCUAUCAGCUUGUUGGUGAGGUAACGGCUCACCAAGGAGUCGACGGGUAGCCGGCCUGAGAGGGUGACCGGCCACACUGGGACUGAGACACGGCCCAGACUCCUACGGGAGGCAGCAGUGGGGAAUAUUGCACAAUGGGCGAAAGCCUGAUGCAGCAACGCCGCGUGAGGGACGACGGCCUUCGGGUGGUAAACCUCUUUUAGCAGGGAAGAAGCGAAAGUGACGGUACCUGCAGAAAAAGCGCCGGCUAACUACGU